rnacentral:rRNA from 1 species
CCCUUAGAUGUUCUGGGCCGCACGCGCGCUACACUGAUGCAUUCAACGAGUCUAAAACCUGCUCUGAUAGGGGUGGGUAAUCUUUUGAAUGUGCAUCGUGAUUGGGAUAGAUGAUUGCAAUUUUUCAUCUUCAACGAGGAAUGCCUAGUAAACGCAAGUCAUCAUCUUGCAUUGAUUACGUCCCUGCCCUUUGUACACACCGCCCGUCGCUCCUACCGAUUGAAUGAUCCGAUGAAUAUCAUGGAUUGAGGAUGCAAGUAGGUUCGCCUAUCUUCAUCUUCGAGAAGUGAAGUAAAUCUUAUCAUUUAGAGGAAGGAGAAGUCGUAACA